GUGCCUAAUACAUGCAAGUCGAGCGGACUGAUGGGAGCUUGCUCCCUGAAGUCAGCGGCGGACGGGUGAGUAACACGUGGGUAACCUGCCUGUAAGACUGGGAUAACUCCGGGAAACCGGGGCUAAUACCGGAUAGUUCUUUUCCUCGCAUGAGGAAAAGUGGAAAGGCGGCUUCGGSUGCCACUUACAGAUGGACCCGCGGCGCAUUAGCUAGUUGGUGAGGUAACGGCUCACCAAGGCAACGAUGCGUAGCCGACCUGAGAGGGUGAUCGGCCACACUGGGACUGAGACACGGCCCAGACUCCUACGGGAGGCAGCAGUAGGGAAUCUUCCGCAAUGGACGAAAGUCUGACGGAGCAACGCCGCGUGAGUGAUGAAGGUUUUCGGAUCGUAAAGCUCUGUUGUUAGGGAAGAACAAGUGCCGUUCGAAUAGGGCGGCGCCUUGACGGUACCUAACCAGAAAGCCACGGCUAACUACGUGCCARCAGCCGCGGUAAUACGUAGGUGGCAAGCGUUGUCCGGAAUUAUUGGGCGUAAAGCGCGCGCAGGCGGUCUCUUAAGUCUGAUGUGAAAGCCCACGGCUCAACCGUGGAGGGKCAUUGGAAACUGGGGGACUUGAGUACAGAAGAGGAAAGUGGAAUUCCACGUGUAGCGGUGAAAUGCNUAGAUAUGUGGAGG
rnacentral:rRNA from 1 species